UACGUAGGGGGCAAGCGUUGUCCGGAAUCAUUGGGCGUAAAGCGCGUGUAGGCGGUUCGGUAAGUCCGCUGUGAAAGUCGGGGGCUCAACCCUCGGAUGCCGGUGGAUACUGUCGAGCUUGAGUACGGAAGAGGCGAGUGGAAUUCCUGGUGUAGCGGUGAAAUGCGCAGAUAUCAGGAGGAACACCAAUGGCGAAGGCAGUUCUCUGGGCCGUAACUGACGCUGAGGAGCGAAAGCGUGGGGAGCGAACAGG
rnacentral:rRNA from 1 species